UUAAUUUGAGAGUUUGAUCCUGGCUCAGGACGAACGCUGGCGGCGUGCCUAAUACAUGCAAGUCGAACGAACUCUGGUAUUGAUUGGUGCUUGCAUCAUGAUUUACAUUUGAGUGAGUGGCGAACUGGUGAGUAACACGUGGGAAACCUGCCCAGAAGCGGGGGAUAACACCUGGAAACAGAUGCUAAUACCGCAUAACAACUUGGACCGCAUGGUCCGAGUUUGAAAGAUGGCUUCGGCUAUCACUUUUGGAUGGUCCCGCGGCGUAUUAGCUAGAUGGUGGGGUAACGGCUCACCAUGGCAAUGAUACGUAGCCGACCUGAGAGGGUAAUCGGCCACAUUGGGACUGAGACACGGCCCAAACUCCUACGGGAGGCAGCAGUAGGGAAUCUUCCACAAUGGACGAAAGUCUGAUGGAGCAACGCCGCGUGAGUGAAGAAGGGUUUCGGCUCGUAAAACUCUGUUGUUAAAGAAGAACAUAUCUGAGAGUAACUGUUCAGGUAUUGACGGUAUUUAACCAGAAAGCCACGGCUAACUACGUGCCAGCAGCCGCGGUAAUACGUAGGUGGCAAGCGUUGUCCGGAUUUAUUGGGCGUAAAGCGAGCGCAGGCGGUUUUUUAAGUCUGAUGUGAAAGCCUUCGGCUCAACCGAAGAAGUGCAUCGGAAACUGGGAAACUUGAGUGCAGAAGAGGACAGUGGAACUCCAUGUGUAGCGGUGAAAUGCGUAGAUAUAUGGAAGAACACCAGUGGCGAAGGCGGCUGUCUGGUCUGUAACUGACGCUGAGGCUCGAAAGUAUGGGUAGCAAACAGGAUUAGAUACCCUGGUAGUCCAUACCGUAAACGAUGAAUGCUAAGUGUUGGAGGGUUUCCGCCCUUCAGUGCUGCAGCUAACGCAUUAAGCAUUCCGCCUGGGGAGUACGGCCGCAAGGCUGAAACUCAAAGGAAUUGACGGGGGCCCGCACAAGCGGUGGAGCAUGUGGUUUAAUUCGAAGCUACGCGAAGAACCUUACCAGGUCUUGACAUACUAUGCAAGUCUAAGAGAUUAGACGUUCCCUUCGGGGACAUGGAUACAGGUGGUGCAUGGUUGUCGUCAGCUCGUGUCGUGAGAUGUUGGGUUAAGUCCCGCAACGAGCGCAACCCUUAUUAUCAGUUGCCAGCAUUAAGUUGGGCACUCUGGUGAGACUGCCGGUGACAAACCGGAGGAAGGUGGGGAUGACGUCAAAUCAUCAUGCCCCUUAUGACCUGGGCUACACACGUGCUACAAUGGAUGGUACAACGAGUUGCGAACUCGCGAGAGUAAGCUAAUCUCUUAAAGCCAUUCUCAGUUCGGAUUGUAGGCUGCAACUCGCCUACAUGAAGUCGGAAUCGCUAGUAAUCGCGGAUCAGCAUGCCGCGGUGAAUACGUUCCCGGGCCUUGUACACACCGCCCGUCACACCAUGAGAGUUUGUAACACCCAAAGUCGGUGGGGUAACCUUUUAGGAACCAGCCGCCUAAGGUGGGACAGAUGAUUAGGGUGAAGUCGUAACAAGGUAGCCGUAGGAGAACCUGCGGCUGGAUCACCUCCUUUCUAAGGAA
rnacentral:rRNA from 2 species